UAAUGUGAUUUGUAAAAAGCUUGACUGAGAAAGAAAGUAUCUAUUAAGAUAUAUUAAUGCUUAUUUUUUUUUUUUUGCAAUUCACAGAAGAAAACAUAACACAAGAGAAGAUCCCCUUCAGGUCAUCAGGAUUAUUAAAAAAAAAGAAACAAAAAAAGAAGUGAAACAAAUGUUAAUUUGUGAUGCACACACAAAAAAACUGAGACUAAUGCUACACAAUGAAAUAACUGUGUUGAUUGAUGAAUUGAAUAUGCAUACUGUCAGUGUGUACGCUCUAUCCAAUGUACUGGUCAGAGAUUGUAGGAUUGCUAUGACAACAAUGCGUUAGAUUUUAAAAUUAGGCAUGUGUUGAAGUAUAACAUGUUCUCUUAUUUACAAAAAUGUAUAAGCUGUAAAAAAAAAAAGAGUUAAUAUGCUCAGCGUCAACAAUGAUGGAUAAAGUCUUACACACAUUCACACACUCUU